GAUGGUGGUGGUGGUGGUGGUGGUGGUGGUGGGCAAGGGAAACUCCUCGCAAUGACGAUAUGGCUCUUGCUCAUCGAUUUUGUACGAGUUCAGGCCAGACCAACACCUGUUACCGUCACUAGAGCCAGUGAAAGAGUAGGAGGAGGACAAGAGAGAGAGGGAGAGAGAGAGAACGCAGGAGAGGGAGAGAGAUGGAGAAUGGCAGAGAAGAGGGGUUGUGCGCCACCAUCAGCGCCGGCCAGAUAGCGACGACGAGGAAACACCGACGCCAAUCGAUAGCGUCGACCCCGCCGGCGUGCUGCGUUCAACGUCGACGGGCUAUGCGAUAGCGCAUCGUCCCGGAUCAUUAAACAGUUGUCCUGACAACUUAUAUUAUAGGCGAUGUGAAAACAACCGUGUCAAUUUAUCAAAGAAGAAGUUAACACAAGUAAGAAGGGAAGAGAGACUUGCUAGAGAUUAAUUCAUCAAUCUUAUUCGUCGAUUCGAUCCAGGUCGAUUCGACCUCAUUCGAUAUAUCAUCCCUCGGCACUGUUAUACAAGCCCUUAUAGUUCCUUGUGGCUUUACGAUAUGAAAAAAAGAAAAAUGAAAGAAAAAAAGGAAGAAGAAAUUAGUUUAAAAUUAGUCUCCAAAAGGAAUAAUCGAUUUUUAAAAUCGUCUGGGAAACGAUUCCGUGCAUGCCUGGGAAACUUUUGACCCAUCCUGUAGUUAUAAAAACUGAUUUCGUUGGAAUGGAAUUGUUGAAAUAAAAAAAAUGAACAAUGGUCAAUAGAUUAAGAGAAAGAAAGAGACAGAGAGAGAGAGAGAAUUGAACAUUCGUCAGAUUAUAUUCGUCACCGUUUGUAAAACUAUACCAUUUGGUCGUUCUUUUUACCAACGAAGGUAUAUUCCCUCUUUCCUUCUUUUUUUUUUCUCUCUCUCUCUCUCAUUCUCUUUGUCUGAUCAAUAGAGACAAUGCACUUGUUGGUCAUCACGACAGCUGUUGUUACGUGCCAUAUCAAUGUCGCACGCUCUCUCUCUCUCUCUCUCUCUCUCUCUCUCUCUCGUUCUAUGCUUUUCUAAUGGUAAAACCUACGUAAGGAUACGCCAUGUAGUACAUAGGUAAGUACGUAUGUACUUACGUACAAGGGGGAUAUAUGAUUAGUCGGAGAAUAGACCUUCGUGUACGUUUUAUACAUACAUAUGUAUGUCUCUUAUGUACAUACUUUCUAACAUUAGCACUUUCAUUCUUUAAUCCUGUUAAACUAUCCCUUCGUCUCGUUUCUUUUCCCCCUUCACUAGUUAUAAUUCUAAAUGAGAAAUACAGAGGUAAUCAAAUUAAGUAACAAUACUUAUUAGGUUUUAGAUAUUAGGAUGGGUGAUAGUAAUAAUUUUUAGCAUUAGAUCAAGUAAUAAAUUUAUUUUUUAAGCGUAACUACGUUCGACGUAUUUAUGUAUAUACAUCAAAAUCGAUUAAUAAAUUUGUUGUCUUCUUUUU